rnacentral:rRNA from 1 species
UACGGGGGGGGCAAGCGUUGUUCGGAAUUACUGGGCGUAAAGGGCUCGUAGGCGGCCAACUAAGUCAGACGUGAAAUCCCUCGGCUUAACCGGGGAACUGCGUCUGAUACUGGAUGGCUUGAGUUUGGGAGAGGGAUGCGGAAUUCCAGGUGUAGCGGUGAAAUGCGUAGAUAUCAGGAGGAACACCGGUGGCGAAGGCGGGACUCUGGGCCGAUACUGACGCUGAGGAGCGAAAGCAUGGGGAGCGAACAGG